UCCUACGGGAGGCAGCAGUGGGGAAUUUUGGACAAUGGGCGAAAGCCUGAUCCAGCAAUGCCGCGUGCAGGAUGAAGGCCCUCGGGUUGUAAACUGCUUUUGUACGGAACGAAAAGCCUGGGGCUAAUAUCCCCGGGUCAUGACGGUACCGUAAGAAUAAGCACCGGCUAACUACGUGCCAGCAGCCGCGGUAAUACGUAGGGUGCAAGCGUUAAUCGGAAUUACUGGGCGUAAAGCGUGCGCAGGCGGUUUUGUAAGACAGUGGUGAAAUCCCCGGGCUCAACCUGGGAACUGCCAUUGUGACUGCAAGGCUAGAGUGCGGCAGAGGGGGAUGGAAUUCCGCGUGUAGCAGUGAAAUGCGUAGAUAUGCGGAGGAACACCGAUGGCGAAGGCAAUCCCCUGGGCCUGCACUGACGCUCAUGCACGA
rnacentral:rRNA from 1 species